UUGUUUGGGUGCUUUGAAGAUCUGUUUUAAAGAAACUUUUCUGGGAAAGGAAAGAGUCAGGCAGUACCAACCUUUUCAUGAGAGCUAUAGAAUGGUUUCAAAUAAGCCAAUUCAGAUUUAUCUCUGUCUCCUUUAAUGGUAUCAUCCACAGCUGGAGAUCCCCGUGCACAAUUACCUGCGUCACUUUCAGUUUACCUUCCUCUUGUCUGGAAGAACAGAGAAUUCUUGCAAUAGAAGCUUUGUGAUAUCACAAAGCUGGGGACUUACUGGAAAAAUGUGAGACUCACACACCUGGCCAGGAGGAAAAAACUCAGGACUGCAGUGGACAUUUGUCCAAUUGGUGGCCAACAAUGAGCUUUGAGUAAAUUUUCUAUAUUGAAGGAGCUUCUCAUCUUAUGCAUGCCAUCUCUGCAAAUUAGAAGCUGGGACUCAAUUUUCCAGUCUCUCUUGCAACUAGGAUAUAGACAUGUGACCUGUGCUCUGGCCAUUAGUUGCAGCCUUUUGAGAUUUUCAUUCACAACAUAAAAUGCGAAAAAGCAGGCACUGACUGAAUCCAUUCCUGGAGUACGUAAGUAGCAGAAAGUGAUGAUGGUGAGCUUCUAUGGACAUUAGUGCCUGACAUCCCAGUACUGUGGUAGUAUUCACACGCUUGGUUCCCACACUGUC
rnacentral:lncRNA from 10 species